GAUGAACGCUGGCGGCGUGCCUAAUACAUGCCAGUCGAGCGAACGGACGAGAAGCUUGCUUCUCUGAUGUUAGCGGCGGACGGGUGAGUAACACGUGGAUAACCUACCUAUAAGACUGGGAUAACUUCGCGAAACCGGAGCUAAUACCGGAUAAUAUUUUGAACCGCAUGGUUCAAAAGUGAAAGACGGUCUUGCUGUCACUUAUAGAUGGAUCCGCGCUGCAUUAGCUAGUUGGUAAGGUAACGGCUUACCAAGGCAACGAUGCAUAGCCGACCUGAGAGGGUGAUCGGCCACACUGGAACUGAGACACGGUCCAGACUCCUACGGGAGGCAGCAGUAGGGAAUCUUCCGCAAUGGGCGAAAGCCUGACGGAGCAACGCCGCGUGAGUGAUGAAGGUCUUCGGAUCGUAAAACUCUGUUAUUAGGGAAGAACAUAUGUGUAAGUAACUGUGCACACCUUGACGGUACCUAAUCAGAAAGCCACGGCUAACUACGUG
rnacentral:rRNA from 1 species